rnacentral:rRNA from 1 species
CCUACGGGUGGCAGCAGUGAGGAAUAUUGGUCAAUGGCCGGAAGGCUGAACCAGCCAAGUCGCGUGAGGGAUGACUGCCCUAUGGGUUGUAAACCUCUUUUAUAAGGGAAGAAUACAUGCUAUGUAUAGCAUCAUGUCUGUACCAUAUGAAUACGGAUCGGCUAACUCCGUGCCAGCAGCCGCGGUAAUACGGAGGAUGCGAGCGUUAUCCGGAUUUAUUGGGUUUAAAGGGAGCGUAGGUGGGUUGUUAAGUUUGUUGUGAAACCGUGCGGCUUAACCGUAAAAUUGCAAUUGAAAUUGUCAGUCUUGAGUACAGAAGAGGUAGGCGGAAUUAGUGGGGUAGCGGUGAAAUGCUUAGAUAUAACGAAGAACUCCGAUAGCGAAGGCAGCUUACUGGACUGCAACUGACGCUGAUGCUCGAAAGCGUGGGUAGCAAACAGGAUUAGAUACCCGGGUAGUC